UCGAACGCGAAAGUCCCGCAAGGGAUCAGUAGAGUGGCAAACGGGUGCGUAACGCGUGGGCGACCUACCUCUGAGUGGGGGAUAACCUAACCGAAAGGAGGGCUAAUACCGCAUGACAUCCCGUGUUUGGAUACACGGACAUCAAAGCCGGGGAUCGCAAGACCUGGCGCUUGGAGAGGGGCCCGCGUCCGAUUAGCUAGUUGGUGAGGUAACGGCUCACCAAGGCUCCGUUCGGUAUCCGGCCUGAGAGGGCGGACGGACACACUGGGACUGAGACACGGCCCAGACUCCUACGGGAGGCAGCAGUGGGGAAUUGUUCGCAAUGGGCGCAAGCCUGACGACGCAACGCCGCGUGGAGGAUGAAGACCUUCGGGUCGUAAACUCCUUUCGACCGAGAUGAAUUCCCGCCGGCCUAACAUGCCGGCGGGGUGACAGUAUCGAGGGAAGCAGCCCCGGCUAACUCCGUGCCAGCAGCCGCGGUAAUACGGGGGGGGCAAGCGUUGUUCGGAAUUACUGGGCGUAAAGGGUUCGUAGGUGGCUUGUUAAGUCAGACGUGAAAUCCCUCGGCUCAACCGGGGAACUGCGUCUGAGACUGAUGAGCUCGAGUGCAGGAGAGGAACGCGGAAUUCCAGGUGUAGCGGUGAAAUGCGUAGAUAUCUGGAGGAACACCGGUGGCGAAGGCGGCGUUCUGGACUGCAACUGACACUGAGGAACGAAAGCCAGGGGAGCAAACGGGAUUAGAUACCCCGGUAGUCCUGGCCCUAAACGAUGAAUGCUUGGUGUGGUAGGUAUCGAUCCCUGCCG
rnacentral:rRNA from 1 species